rnacentral:rRNA from 1 species
AACGCGAAGAACCUUACCAAGGCUUGACAUAUACUGGACCGCAUCAGAGAUGGUGUUUCCCUUCGGGGCUGGUAUACAGGUGGUGCAUGGUUGUCGUCAGCUCGUGUCGUGAGAUGUUGGGUUAAGUCCCGCAACGAGCGCAACCCUCGUUCUAUGUUGCCAGCACGUUAUGGUGGGGACUCAUAGGAGACUGCCGGGGUCAACUCGGAGGAAGGUGGGGAUGACGUCAAAUCAUCAUGCCCCUUAUGUCUUGGGCUUCACGCAUGCUACAAUGGCCGGUACAGAGGGUUGCGAUACUGUGAGUGGAGCUAAUCCCUAAAAGCCGGUCUCAGUUCGGAUUGGGGUCUGCAACUCGACCCCAUGAAGUCGGAGUCGCUAGUAAUCGCAGACAGCA